CGGACGGGUGAGUAACGCGUGAAUUACAUGCCCUUCAGUGGGGAAUAGCCCAGGGAAACUUGGAUUAAUACCCCAUGGUAUCGCAAGAUUAAAGGUGGCCAGCAAUGGCUGUCGCUGAAGGAUUGGUUCGCGCCCUAUCAGCUUGUUGGUGAGGUAACGGCCCACCAAGGCUACGACGGGUACCUGGUCUGAGAGGACGAUCAGGCACACUGGAACUGAGACACGGUCCAGACACCUACGGGUGGCAGCAGUCGAGAAUCAUUCACAAUGGGGGAAACCCUGAUGGUGCAACGCCGCGUGGAGGAUGAAGGCCCUCGGGUCGUAAACCCCUGUCAUCGGAGAGUAAGCUUUGGUCGUUAAUAGCUUCCAAAGUUGAUAGUAUCCGAAGAGGAAGGGACGGCUAACUUCGUGCCAGCAGCCGCGGUAAUACGAAGGUCCCAAGCGUUGUUCGGAAUCACUGGGCGUAAAGGGAGCGUAGGCGGCGUGGUAAGUCAGAUGUGAAAUCCCGGGGCUCAACCCCGGAACUGCAUCCGAUACUGCCAUGCUAGAGGAUUGGAGAGGUAGCUGGAAUUCUUGGUGUAGCAGUGAAAUGCGUAGAGAUCAAGAGGAACACUCGUGGCGAAAGCGAGCUACUGGACAAUUCCUGACGCUGAGGCUCGAAGGCUAGGGUAGCGAAAGGGAUUAGAUACCCCUGUAGUC
rnacentral:rRNA from 1 species